UGGGGAAUAUUGCACAAUGGGCGCAAGCCUGAUGCAGCCAUGCCGCGUGUAUGAAGAAGGCCUUCGGGUUGUAAAGUACUUUCAGCGGGGAGGAAGGCGAUAAGGUUAAUAACCUUGUCGAUUGACGUUACCCGCAGAAGAAGCACCGGCUAACUCCGUGCCAGCAGCCGCGGUAAUACGGAGGGUGCAAGCGUUAAUCGGAAUUACUGGGCGUAAAGCGCCCGCAGGCGGUCUGUCAAGUCGGAUGUGAAAUCCCCGGGCUCAACCUGGGAACUGCAUUCGAAACUGGCAGGCUGGAGUGUGGUAGAGGGGGGUAGAAUUCCAGGUGUAGCGGUGAAAUGCGUAGAGAUCUGGAGGAAUACCGGUGGCGAAGGCGGCCCCCUGGACAAAGACUGACGCUCAGGUGCGAAAGCGUGGGGAGCAAACA
rnacentral:rRNA from 1 species